CAUAUAAUCCUCCGUCCAACAAAAAAUGUCUCGAAUUUGUCAAAAUUUAAAUAUAUCUAGACAAAACUCAGUGUAUAGAUGCAUUCAAAUUUAAUCAAAGUUGAGACAUUCUUUGUUAGAUGGAGGGAAUAUAAA
rfam:Brachypodium distachyon strain Bd21 chromosome 1, whole genome shotgun sequence.